UGAACGCUGGCGGCGUGCUUAAUACAUGCAAGUCGAACGAAGCACUUAUGACAGAUCCCCUCGGGGUGAAGACGUUGUGACUGAGUGGCGGACGGGUGAGUAACGCGUGGGUAACCUGCCUUAUGCAGGGGGACAACAGUUGGAAACGACUGCUAAUACCGCAUAAGCGCACGGCACCGCAUGGUGCAGUGUGAAAAGAUUUAUCGGCAUAAGAUGGACCCGCAUCUGAUUAGGUAGUUGGUGAGGUAACGGCCCACCAAGCCGACGAUCAGUAGCCGACUUGAGAGAGUGAUCGGCCACAUUGGGACUGAGACACGGCCCAGACUCCUACGGGAGGCAGCAGUAGGGAAUAUUGCACAAUGGGGGGAAACCCUGAUGCAGCGAACCGCCGCGUGAGUGAUGAAGUAUUUCGGUACGUAAAGCUCUAUCAGCAGGGAAGAUAAUGACGGUACCUGACUAAGAAGCCCCGGCUAACUACGUGCCAGCAGCUGC
rnacentral:rRNA from 1 species